GAUUCUUUACCCACUAAGCCACCAGGCCAACUUCUCCUCCUUGUUCACCUGGUUAACUCAUUUUAGCCCAAGGGCAAAUCAUCACCGAAUUUCCCCUUUUGCCCUCCAUUUUGGUCUAAGACUCCUAUGUUAAUUUCCAUUCUGAUCACGAGCUACUUUGUAGUAGUAUUGGUGAUGAUGGUCGUAGUAUUUAUCACAGUUUCAGUGUUACAUUUUCUUUUGGUUUUGUCUCCUCUACUAGCUUGCGGUCUCCAUGAGGGCAGAGAUGAACCCAGUAGGCGCUUACUAAGUGGUUUUUGUGAAUGAAUGAUGCAUUUGCUACUUUGCUUUAAGGCCAGUCCUUUUAAUGCCCACUUUUCACAUACUGGGAAACUGACGUCCAGAGAGGAUUGCCCCGAGGGAGAGCAAGUAGGGGAUAGCUCUAGUGGUGCCCCUCCCCCCAUUUAGAGAUUCGCUAUCACCCCCACCCACCCCUACUUCCUCCACUGUGUGGGACCCAAGGAACACAAGCCCCAGCUCUGGACUCCGCUGAGCUGGGAAAGGGCCUGUCCACAGGUCAAGACCAGCCCAGAAGCGGCUCCCAGACCGGUUUAGCCGGUUCCUGGAGCGCGGGCGAGGUCCAGCCGCCUUAGGCGGUUAAGACGCAGACCUUGACCAGAUUGCCAGCGGCUCGGGGCGGGCGCUCGAUCUACCCUUGGAACUUUGAGUCCUAGGCUGGGCCCUCGGGGUGAGUGGUUUAGCCAAGGCAGAGGGCGGGGUUAUCCGGGUGUCGAUCACGUACAUGGGCGGGGCAUGCAAAUUAAGCAGCGUUCCAUUUCUCUCUGAGCCCCGCCCCUCCGCGCUGCACCUAGCUACUUCCUACAACUCCCGAAGUCGGUCGGUGGCUCUGGCGGCUCCGCCCCUCCCCCAAGCUCGUCCCUCCCGGAUUCUGCCCACAUGGUCGGAGCUUAGCCACCCCCUUAUCCCAGCGCCCCGCGGAUGUAGGGGCGGGGUUUAGGAGCCAAGCGGGAAGGCGGAGGCCGUGCUGUGGGCUCCUGGGGCUGGGGGUCGGCUCGGAAUCAGCAUGCAGGAUCUUAAUAAUUCCCCGACCAGGGAUGGAACCCACUCCCUCUGCAGGAGAAGUGUGGAGUCUUAACCACUGGACUGCCAGGCAGAGUGAAAUUGUUAUGACCACCCAGCCCAGAAGAAUUGAUGCUUUUGAACUGUGGUGUUGGAGAAGACUUUUGAGCGUCCCUUGGGCUGCAAGGAGAUCAAACCAGUCCAUACUAAAGGAAAUCAGUCCUGAAUAUUCAUUGGAUGGACUGA